rnacentral:rRNA from 1 species
AUUGAACGCUGGCGGCAUGCCUUACACAUGCAAGUCGAACGGUAACGGGCCUUCGGGUGCCGACGAGUGGCGAACGGGUAAGUAAUGCAUCGGAACGUACCUUUCAGUGGGGGAUAACGUAGCGAAAGUUACGCUAAUACCGCAUAUUCUGUGAGCAGGAAAGCAGGGGAUCGCAAGACCUUGCGCUGAUUGAGCGGCCGAUGUCAGAUUAGCUAGUUGGUGAGGUAAAGGCUCACCAAGGCGACGAUCUGUAGCGGGUCUGAGAGGAUGAUCCGCCACACUGGAACUGAGACACGGUCCAGACUCCUACGGGAGGCAGCAGUGGGGAAUUUUGGACAAUGGGGGCAGCCCUGAUCCAGCCAUGCCGCGUGAGUGAAGAAGGCCUUCGGGUUGUAAAGCUCUUUCGGUCGGGAAGAAAUCGCAUGGGUUAAUACCCUGUGCGGAUGACGGUACCGGCAUAAGAAGCACCGGCUAACUACGUGCCAGCCGCCGCCGUAAUAC